rnacentral:tRNA from 1 species
AGGGUGGGGUUGUGGGGGGUUGAAGGUGAACGUAUCACCGCAAGCUGGGGCCCAUCGCGCGGACUCAUAAUCCGUUGGUCGCGGGUUCGAGCCCCGCCCGCCCUA